ensembl:lncRNA
GUCAUUUUUAAUAUCUUAACAAUCAUAUACAUACAGCUCGUACCAUCAUUCAUGCAUCACCAAGUGGACAUGUUCUCCAUCAUGAGAUUGGACUGAUGGAGAUUUACAUCACAAAUACAAAUCCUUCUGAUGCACCUGAUUACUGUUGUAAACCGACAUGAAGAAAACACGCUGAAUAACACCGUAUCUCCUGACUAAAGCCGCAUCAACGCUGUCGUUAUAUAUAGUCGUACAUAAUGAGAUCAGUCAGGCGCGUCUGGCACUAGUAGAUUACUUCUGGUUAGUGUGUUUAUUGAAUAGAAGAUAAAUGUCCGUUCAGGAAGUAUUCAGACCCUUUUUCCACCUAACAGCCUUAUUCUAAAAUGGAUUCAAUUCAUCAAUGCCCCAGCAUGACAAAGUGAAAACAGGUUUAGACAUUUUUGCAAAUGUAUUAAAAUAAGUAAAUAAGGUAUUGUUUUAAGUCCCCAAAUACAGGUGAGCCAAGCUUGAAGCGUCAUAUCCAAGAAGACUCUAGGCUGGUAUCGCUGCCAAAGGGGCUUCAGAGUACUGAGUAAAGGGGCUUCAGAGUACUGAGUAAAGGGUCUGAAUAUUUCAGUUUAGUUUUUUUAUACAUUUUCUAAAAUAAAACAUUUACUUUUUGCUUUGUCAUAAUGGAGUGUUGUCUGUAGAUUGAGGGGGGAAAGAUUGAGUGUUGUCUGUAGAUUGAGGGGGGAAAGAUUGAGUGUUGUCUGUAGAUUGAGGGGGAAAGAUUGAGUUGUUGUCUGUAGAUUGAGGGGGAAAGAUUGAGUUGUUGUCUGUAGAUUGAGGGGGAAAAGAUUGAGUGUUGUCUGUAGAUUGAGGGGGAAAGAUUGAGUGUUGUCUGUAGAUUGAGGGGGAAAGAUUGAGUGUUGUCUAGAUUGAGGGGGAAAAGAUUGAGUGUUGUCUGUAGAUUGAGGGGGAAAAGAUUGAGUUGUCUGUAGAUUGAGGGGGAAAAGAUUGAGUGUUGUCUGUAGAUUGAGUGGGGAAAGAUUGAGUGUUGUCUGUAGAUUGAGGGGGGAAAGAUUGAGUGUUGUCUGUAGAUUGAGGGGGGAAAGAUUGAGUGUUGUCUGUAGAUUGAGGGGGGAAAGAUUGAAUCCAUUUUAGAAUAAGGCUGUAACGUAACAAAAUGUGGAGAAAGUUGAAGGGUCUGAAUACAUUCUGAAUGCCCUGUAUUACACACUGGGAUUCACACUGCUACACUGGAGACACAAUGAAUCCACAUUCUGCAUAUUAUAGAAUCAAGCAAAAGAAAACAGUUACCUGAAAAUGUCAUUUGUGUGGUUUGUUCCACAAAUCAACAACUUAGUGAUUACAGUACAAAUUAAACUAGAGAUUUAUCUAGUGUAAGUCCACGUGGUACCGAACCUCUCAGACACUGGAGAGACCAAGGCCCUAUGGGUCCUGGUGUAAAGUAGUGCUCAACAUGGGGAAUAGAGGAUGAUUUCAGUCCUCUCCCAGAGCACCUUGUCCUGGAGACACUACGAAGAGAAACAGUUCACACUGCUGGGGGACUUUCAUACUGAGACAGAGGACAAUGGAGCCUGAUCCCAGGUCUGUUUGUGUCAUCAUGUGAACUCCUUGUCUUGCCAAACACAUCUGGGACCAAGCUAAUGAGUGUUGUCUGCAUAGCCAGAGUCCAGUGAAGCAGGGAAUGCAGACUGUUGUUAUUGCUGAGUUUGGUAUCUCUAUUAUCCAAACCGAUACACCUCUACCCGGAUCUCUAGACCAAUGACGGAAACAAACACCUGACUAUGAUCUCGACUAGAACAGAAAUGUUAAAAACUGACCCCCAAGCAGUUGUCCUUCUCCGUAAGGCAAAUUAAAAGUGACGAGGCUCUACGCUUGUUUUCAUUUAUUAAGAAACAUUUAAAUGCCAAAGAAACAAACGUUGCAUUGAAAGACAAACACCAUUCAGCUUUAACAUCUAAACUUCAGCUCCUUCACAGGUUGUUGGUAAAAAAUGAUGAGGAUGAAGAGGGGAUGAAGGAAAGGUGAGAGGAUUUAAACUGCAGGUUCACUCAGUGAUACUCUUCUCUACUAGGGCUGCAGAAUUCCGGGAACCUUCAAUAAAUUACCUAGUUUUACAGAAAUCCUGGUUUGGAAGUUUCCCAGGAAUAAGCAGAGAAUCCGGAAGCAUCCAACCAGGUUUUCAUUUAAAAGUUCUUGGUAUUCUGCAGCCUUACUCUCCCCACCAGACAUCUGGCAGACAGCUGGUGGGGCUCAACACAACAACACAUCAACACUCACACACUAUGGAUGUAGA